GGGCAGAUGGCCGAGUGGUUAAGGCGCCAGAUUUAGGCUCUGGUCUCGCAAGAGGCGUGGGUUCGAGCCCCACUCUGCUCA